rnacentral:rRNA from 1 species
UACGGAGGGUGCGAGCGUUGUCCGGAAUCACUGGGCGUAAAGGGCGCGUAGGCGGCGCGACAAGGCGGCGGUGAAAGUCCGGGGCUCAACCCCGGAUCGGCCGUGGCGACUGUCGCGCUCGAGCACAGUAGAGGCGGGUGGAAUUCCGGGUGUAGCGAUGGAAUGCGUAGAGAUCCGGAGGAACACCGAUGGCGAAGGCAGCCUUCUGGGCCAACACUGACGCUCAUGCACGAAAGCGUGGGGAGCAAACAGG